AAGUCGUAACAAGGUAACCGUAGGUGAACCUGCGGUUGGAUCAUUAAAAAAUAUUUGGUCUCGUGCCAAAUUAACACUUGUGUGCACCAUUGUCUGUAUUUGGCAGUUCGAGUGCCCCAGGUUGCGUAACUGCCCUGGGUGCCUUCUUUUGGAAUGUUAGGAUUCGCAUGUGUCUUACUUUCGGAUCUGAUUCCAUCAGAUGGGCUGCCGCCUUUGUGAAUUGGUUGUUGGAUUCACCAUUGUGUGAAUUCCUUCCAGCUGCAAUUGACUUCAUUGUCACGCAGUUGGCUUGCCAAUUCACGAAAUAACUUCUGUUUAUCAAUAUGUCUGAAACCUUUUGAUCUGUAAAGAUUGAAUUUUAAAUACAACUUUUGACAACGGAUCUCUUGGCUCUC
rnacentral:misc_RNA from 1 species